GCCGAGGAGGAGAGGUCGAGCGGCUGCGCUGCGACGCAAGGGGAGGCGGGCGGCGGUAGUAGGGCUGGGAUGGACGUUGGCAACGUCGUCUCCUGGCCGGGGAACAGCAGCGGCGGUGGUCGCCGGCCGGGAAGCGGGGCGAUGGUGGGCGCUGGCCGGAGAGAAGCAGCGGCGGGUGGGCUGGCCGGAAGCAGGGGACGAAGGGGUGGCUGCGGCUUCUUGGAAGAAAGAGGAGAAAUGGGGAUGAUAAGACCCUAAAGUCUUAUCGUGGAAGAAAGAGGAGAAAUGGG
rnacentral:lncRNA from 1 species